rnacentral:rRNA from 1 species
GACGAACGCUGGCGGCGUGCUUAACACAUGCAAGUCGAACGAGAGCGUAGAGAAAGCUUGCUUUUUCUACAAUCUAGUGGCAAACGGGUGAGUAACGCGUAAACAACCUGCCCUACGGAUGGGGACAACAGCUGGAAACGGCUGCUAAUACCGAAUACGUUCCGAAAGUCGCAUGACUAUCGGAAGAAAGGAUGGCCUCUAUUUAUAAGCUAUCGCCGGAGGAGGGGUUUGCGUCUGAUUAGCUAGUUGGAGGGGUAACGGCCCACCAAGGCGACGAUCAGUAGCCGGUCUGAGAGGAUGAACGGCCACAUUGGAACUGAGACACGGUCCAGACUCCUACGGGAGGCAGCAGUGGGGAAUCUUCCGCAAUGGGCGAAAGCCUGACGGAGCAACGCCGCGUGAGUGAAGACGGCCUUCGGGUUGUAAAGCUCUGUUAUACGGGACGAAUAAUCUUGUGGUUAAUACCCAUGAGAAGUGACGGUACCGUAAGAGAAAGCCACGGUUAACUACGUG